UUGGAGGGCAAGUCUGGUGCCAGCAGCCGCGGUAAUUCCAGCUCCAAUAGCGUAUAUUAAAGUUGUUGCAGUUAAAAAGCUCGUAGUUGAAUUUCGGGACUAUCAUGUCGGUCGUGCCUCGGUACGUACUGGCAUUGUUGGUUUCUACCUUCUGACGAACCAUGAUGUCAUUUAUUUGGUGUCGUGGGGAAUCAGGACUGUUACUUUGAAAAAAUUAGAGUGUUCAUUCCAGGCCUAUGCUCGAAUACAUUAGCAUGGAAUAAUAGAAUAGGACGUGUGGUUCUAUUUUGUUGGUUUCUAGGACCGCCGUAAUGAUUAAUAGGGAUAGUCGGGGGCAUCAGUAUUCAAUUGUCAGAGGUGAAAUUCUUGGAUUUAUUGAAGACUAACUACUGCGAAAGCAUUUGCCAAGGAUGUUUUCAUUAAUCAGUGAACGAAAGUUAGGGGAUCGAAGACGAUCAGAUACCGUCGUAGUCUUAACCAUAAACUAUGCCGACUAGGGAUCGGAUGAUGUUAAUUUUUUAACGACUCAUUCGGCGCCUUACGGGAAAC
rnacentral:rRNA from 1 species